rnacentral:rRNA from 1 species
UACGUAGGGUGCAAGCGUUAAUCGGAAUUACUGGGCGUAAAGCGUGCGCAGGCGGUUUUGUAAGUCUGACGUGAAAUCCCCGGGCUCAACCUGGGAAUUGCGUUGGAGACUGCAAGGCUGGAGUCUGGCAGAGGGGGGUAGAAUUCCACGUGUAGCAGCGAAAUGCGUAGAGAUGUGGAGGAACACCGAUGGCGAAGGCAGCCCCCUGGGUCAAGACUGACGCUCAUGCACGAAAGCGUGGGGAGCAAACAGG